GUAGGUGGCAAGCGUUGUCCGGAAUUAUUGGGCGUAAAGCGCGCGCAGGCGGUUCUUUAAGUCUGAUGUGAAAGCCCACGGCUCAACCGUGGAGGGUCAUUGGAAACUGGAGAACUUGAGUACAGAAGAGGAAAGCGGAAUUCCACGUGUAGCGGUGAAAUGCGUAGAGAUGUGGAGGAACACCAGUGGCGAAGGCGGCUUUCUGGUCUGUAACUGACGCUGAGGCGCGAAAGCGUGGGGAGCAAACAGGAUUAGAUACCCUGGUAGUCCACGCCGUAAACGAUGAGUGCUAAGUGUUAGGGGGUUUCCGCCCCCCUUAGUGCUGCAGCUAACGCAUUAAGCAAUCCGCCUGGGAGUACGGCCGCAAGGCUG
rnacentral:rRNA from 1 species